rnacentral:tRNA from 1 species
GCUCUUCUAGUAUACUUAUUACAAUUGACUUCCAAUCUCUAAAAUCUGGUAACAUUCCAGAGAAGAGCA